UCCACCUGUCAUAUUACAACAUCAUAAAACUGUAGGAUUUUAAUAAUUUUGAAAGCUUCGAUUAAAAUAAAAUCCUACAGUUUAAUG